rnacentral:rRNA from 1 species
GACGAACGCUGGCGGCGUGCUUAACACAUGCAAGUCGAACGGAAAGGCCCUGCUUUUGUGGGGUGCUCGAGUGGCGAACGGGUGAGUAACACGUGAGUAACCUGCCCUUGACUUUGGGAUAACUUCAGGAAACUGGGGCUAAUACCGGAUAGGAGCUCCUGCUGCAUGGUGGGGGUUGGAAAGUAUCGGCGGUUGGGGAUGGACUCGCGGCUUAUCAGCUGGUUGGUGGGGUAGUGGCUUACCCAGGCUUUGACGGGUAGCCGGCAUGAGAGGGUGAACGGCCACAUUAGGACUGAGAUACGGACCAGACUCGUACGGGAGGCAGCAGUGGGAAAUAUGGCACAAUGGGCGGAAGCCUGAUGCAGCAACGCCGCGUGCGUGAUGACGGCCUUCGUGUUGUAAACCGCUUUCGCCUGUGACGAAGCGGGAGUGACGGUAAUGGGUAAAGAAGCACCGGCUAACUACGUG